GAUGAAGAACGUAGCGAAAUGCGAUAAGUAGUGUGAAUUGCAGAAUUCAGUGAAUCAUCGAAUCUUUGAACGCACAUUGCGCCCCUUGGUAUUCCGGGGGGCAUGCCUGUCCGAGCGUCAUUGCUGCCCUCAAGCACGGCUUGUGUGUUGGGCCUCCGUCCUCCUCCCGGGGGACGGGCCCGAAAGGCAGCGGCGGCACCGCGUCCGGUCCUCGAGCGUAUGGGGCUUCGUCACCCGCUCUUGUAGGCCCGGCCGGCGCUUGCCGACACAUCAAUCUUUUUUCCAGGUUGACCUCGGAUCAGGUAGGGAUACCCGCUGAACUUAAGCAUAUCAAUAAGCGGAGGA
rnacentral:misc_RNA from 1 species